rnacentral:rRNA from 1 species
UACGUAGGGGGCGAGCGUUGUCCGGAGUUACUGGGCGUAAAGCGCACGCAGGCGGUCUGUUAAGUUUGGAGUGACAGUUGGUGGCUCAACCACCAAAGUGCUUUGAAAACUGAUAGACUUGAGGGCUUCAGAGGGACACGGAAUUCCGGGUGGAGUGGUGAAAUGCGUAGAGAUCCGGAGGAACACCAAAGGCGAAGGCAGUGUCCUGGGGAGUACCUGACGCUCAGGUGCGAAAGCCAGGGGAGCAAACGGG